rnacentral:rRNA from 1 species
UACGUAGGGGGCAAGCGUUGUCCGGAUUUAUUGGGCGUAAAGAGCGUGUAGGCGGCCUGACAGGUCUGCUGUGAAAACUCGAGGCUCAACCUCGAGAUGUCGGCGGAGACCGUCUGGCUAGAGUCCGGAAGAGGAGAGUGGAAUUCCUGGUGUAGCGGUGAAAUGCGCAGAUAUCAGGAAGAACACCUAUGGCGAAGGCAGCUCUCUGGGGCGGUACUGACGCUGAGACGCGAAAGCGUGGGGAGCGAACAGG